GUCUUUUUGGAGAUAUCCGAUAAAAUUGGAACGGUAUAGAGAAGAUUAGCAUGGCCCCUGCACAAGGAUGACACACAAAUUGAGAGGUGGUCUAAUUUUUU
rnacentral:snRNA from 1 species